GCUGUGAUUUUGAUCUGAGCCACCAGACAUUUGAUAUAAUACUGUAAAUACUGUGGGAGUGAGCCAUUGCUGGUGUGGCUGUGAGUGUCGAGCCAAACCAUACAUUCUUCCUUAACCUGAUUCUUUGCUCAAAUGAAUUCUGCCUAUAAAUCUGCUUAAUUCUUCCUUCCUUGUGUCUUCAGAGUACAACUCUUUGAACAGCUUGGUUUCAGAGGCUUUCAUCCGCUUCUUCUUGGAGACGAUUGGCCAUUACUCCCUGUUCAUCACUCAGAAUGAGCGCGGAGAGCGCAUUUUCCAAAGGGAGGCCUUCCGCAAGUCUGUGGCUUCGAAGAGUAUCCGACGCUUCCUGGGUGUUUCAUGGAGUCUCAGAUGUUUGCAGGGUUCAUUCAAGACCGGGAGUUGAGGAAGACCCGGGCCAAAGGGCUGUUUGAGCAGAGGGUGGAUCAGUAUCUGGAGGAGCUGCCAGACACCGAACAGAGCGGAGUCAACAAGUUCCUUAAAGGCCUUGGAAGCAAAAUGAGGUUUCUUCACAAGAAGAACUGAGUGGAAUUUUGAUUCCUGUACUCAGUAAAAGCUGAGGACCUGAUGUCCCAUGUGUCUCUGCAUCAUGAUGAGCUUGCUCCUUUCAGUCAGGUUUUUGUAUGAAUGUGUAAAUAUCUGAUUGUAAGGUGGCUGUAGUACUCUCCCAGGUAUGUCUAUAGUACCAUAUGAAAUAGUGUUAAGAGGGUGGGAGUGAGCCAUAGAG